UCUGUUACAAUAGCAAGUUUUCAAGCUUAUAAAAUAUGUGCCUUUAUAAAAUAUAUGUAUAAGUUUGUUAUGGGACACUUAGAACACAUGUUUACUAUGGAAGUAGUUUUCCAUAAAAUGGAAUUAGGCUCCAGGACCAGCCCACAGAACAUAUUUAAUCCACAGCAUGCUGAGCUACGUUCAGGGUUCUGGAAAGAGUUCCAGGCCUGGUCACAGAGAUCUUGUAUCCCAGGAAGCUGAGCCUGAGGGCUCUCUGCAGAGAAUUUAAAGAACACAUUUUUCUGGUGCUCUCCCUCUGUCUUACUGCCGGGAUCCUCACCCACAAAGGAGGCCUCUCAGCAGCUACUCCGUGUGAGCACACCUGGCAGACCUUCUCUGCUGCGAUUCCUACCAUCCAGAGACCUCCUUCACUUCCUUCAGUGAGGCCUCUUCUGACUACUGCUUCUUCAGCUGAGCGUCAGGGAGGAAGCAGUGCAUAAUUAAUAGAUGUGUAGUAGUAAUGGGUGACUGUUUCCUGGUUAUAAAUUCACUUCCCCCUCCAAACUCAGUUCUGCCAGUUUUUCUCCCCUGGGGUCAGUUCUGGCUUUUUAUCUUUCUGUCCUCUUCUGAAGGUACAGAGUGUCUAACUUGCACAUUUUGUGAUCUCAGCAAGGGCUCUAUUGUCUUGAGGAGUGGGGAGUAGGGGAGGAGGGUGAUUAUCUGAGAAUGCCUGGAUUUACAAACGCACACACUGCCGCUGGGAGAAGCUGGGCUUUGCCUCCGACACAACACAAAAAAUAAAACACGGAAACAAAACAUGCUGAUACGUGGGAUGACAAGCGGUUGGAACAGCAACCAGGGACAGCCCAUGCGAACUGGGUUCCGGGAGUGGAGAAAUGUAACACGCGGAGGGGCCACACUGACAAGGAACUGUUUGGUUCCGAAGAAGUCCAGUUUACAUUAUGCUGACUGGAGCCCAGGGUUCAAACAUAACCAUAGACUGGUGAAGUUACCGCAGUGAGCUACCUCUGAAAAUUAUACCUUGCAGGUAAGGUCAGACUGGAAUUCUGCUCACAGACUUCUCCAUGUGCCAUACAAUAGAUUAUUCCUGAAAUAGUCAGAGCCACUCCCUUCAGCAACCUAUUCUAAAAGAAUGCAGACAACUGUUACACCCAACCAAGAGUAUCUGGAAGAUAAAUUAGUGGAGAUAAAUUGAUCUUUUUUUUUUUUUUUUUUUUUUUUUUUUUUUUUUUGGUCUUUUUGAGACAGGGUCUCACUAUGCAGCUCAGGCUGGCCUUGAGUGCACUUUGUAACCCAGGCUGGCCUCGAACUCAUGGUGAUCCUCCUGCCUCAGCCUCUUGAGUGCUGAGAUUACAGGUGUGCACCAUGCCUGGAUUUUUUUUUUUUCUCAAUUGUUUGAUAAGAAAAUUUAAAUUUGUUUUCCUUUAAACUAGUUUUUAAGGAAAUUCUAAUACUUUUAUCCUAAAUAUAACUAUUUGCUUUGCUGUAAAAUUGCAUUUUAGUAUUCUAUAUCCCUAUGGUUUUUUAGGCAUUACAGUACUAUAUUUAAUCUUGUUUAUUCUCCUGUUGCUUUAAGAUAAGCAUCUAAAGCCACCAUAUUCCCAAUUUAUAAAUUAAGUAACUGACUCAAAGAAAUUAAUAACUUGUCCAAAGGGCAAGUAAAACACAUUAAAAGGGACAGAAAGCAGAAGUAUUUGGUUUCUGGAUCAGGAUUUUUUUUUUUUACUAAAGCACAACACUCUUUUUUUUUAACUUUCCUAGAAAAGCUACUAAUGAAGGAAUGCAGUAUUUACACAUGCUACAACAUGGAUGAACUCACAAAUAAUAUGUGAACACACAAGUGACAACAUAUUGUAUGGUUCUGUUUGUGUGAAAUGUCCAGGAUAAGCAAAUCUACAGAAAGAGAAAGCGGUAUUAAUGAUUGGUGGGGGAAGGGCAGGGGUGGAAGGGGGCUAUGGCCACAAAGUUUCUUUUGGGGGUGAUAGAAAUGCUCUAAUGUUAGAUUAUGGCAAUGGUCACACAAUUCGGUAAACACCCUAAAACCCGUUUAACUGCAUACUUAAAAUGGGUGAAUUUUAUGACAUAUAAAUGAUAUCUUAAUAAUGCUGUUUUUUAAAAAUUCAAUUAGAAUGUUACAACAUUACAAGAUAGUUUCACUAAACACUUGAAUUAUUUGUUAUACCAAAAAGCUUACAUUUUUUUCACUUGGAAUAAAUUUGAAAGUUGGUCAAACAAAUAGAAGGAAGGAUAUUAAUGUGGAAAUGAUUUACCUGAACUCGUCCUCCAAUAUUUGUAACUGCUGACAAAAAGUAAAGGACACUUCAUUCUACCAGGUGGAAGGAAAUCACUUAAGCAGUCUGACUGGUGGGUCACCAUGACCUCCGAGAGGAGUAUCAUCAAUUGAGAUAAAUUGUACAUUUUGGAAAUAAUAUUAGUGUGAACUAAACAUAAAAUUACAAAACUUAUGUAAAUCAAUCUUUUAAACAGGAGCUAAGAAUUUAGUCUUCUAAUUUCUAUUUUAUAUGUUUAUUUUCCUAUGAAGGAAUUAAAUCUUAGCAGUAAGAUUAGGCUGCUAUUUACAACCCAAUAUUUAUUCUUAAGCCACUAUUAAAUUAUAUGAACCAGAAAGAACAUGUAUUUAAAUUUUGAGCAUCUAUACUACAAAAGAUAAGGAGACAAUAUGGGAUAAAUACAGUUAAAGGGUUUUUGCUCUUGCUGUUGUUUUGUUCUGUUGCAGUACUAGGUAUUAGGGAUUGAACCCAGGGCCUCUGCAUUGAGACAAGGUCUCUUACCUCAUCGUUAAGUUUCUCAGACUGAGCUCAAACUUGCAAUCCUCCUCCCUUAGCUCCCCAAAGUGCUAUGUUAAAAGUUUUUAUUUUGGAAAAGUAAUGACAAGCUGGCGUAAUGGCACAGGCUUGUAAUCCCAGCACUCAGGAGGCUGAGGCAGGAGGAUCACUGCAAGUUCAAAACCAGCCUGGGCUACAAAGUGACCUCAAGGCCAGCUUGAACUGCAUAGCGAGA
ensembl:lincRNA